ensembl:lncRNA
AGAAAGAAGUAUAAUCCACUGGAGAAGGAGAUCAAGUUUGAGACCAGCUAAGGAACCUGAAUGUGCACAAAUCCAUGAGCCCUGAUGAGUUGCAUCAAAGGCUCCAGAGGGAACUGGCAGAUGAAGUGGCUAAACUUUAACCAUUGUCUUUGAAAACUUGGUGAAGUUGCCAAUGACUGGAAAAAGGAAAACAUAAGCCCCAUUUUUAAAACGGGAAAAACCAAAGGCUUGGAGAGCUACAGGUCAGUCAGUCUCAGCUCAGUGUCUAGGAGGAUCACAGAUCAGAACAAGUCCAGUGACAAAGUCGAUUAAGGGACUGGAGUGGCUCUCCUGGAGUAAAGAGAUCUGGGCCUCUUUACCCUGGAGAAGACUGGAGGGCAUCUUAUCAGUGUACAGUCAGGUUGUUUCUGUGUUGCCUGGCAACAGGACAAGAAGCAAUGGGCUCAAAUCAUGGCAUAGCACGUGAGAAAAAACUUUGCUAUGAGAGUGUCAGAGCACUGGAACAGGCUGCCCAGGGAGGUUGUGUAUUCUCCUUCUCUGGAGAUACUCAAAACCAAUCCAGAUGUGAUCCUGGGCAGUGACCCUGCUUGAAGCAGGGGAGUGGCACUAGUUGAUCCCAAGUGGUCCCUUCCAACUUCAACUCUUCUGUGAUUAUGUGCUUUUGUGAUUCUGUGAAGUUGUGUGUACUAAAUGCUGUUAGAAAUGUUUGUUAGAUUGUUUGAAAAAGUUAUCAUCUCCCAGUUAAAAUAGAUCUGUGAUCCCAGUCUCUUGCAGCACCUUAGAUUAGCCAUUUUCACUGCAUUUGCAAUAAAUUGGCCUGAAUGCAGGAUUAGUUUCUGUUUCAACACAUCUUCCAGCCAAAUACCAGCCAUUUCUCCAAAUGUCCUGUCUCACACCUGCGAUUAGGUGCAUAAGCCCUGCAAUGCAUGUUCUAGAAAAGAAUCACUCCUCAUUCAGAAUCCAUCACUUUAAUUGGUGUACUGUUUUACUGGAUAAUCAGUGUCAUUUAAAAAAUGAGUAACAUUUGUCAUUUGAAUGUGAUUGGCUUUAAAUUCCAAUUGUUCACUCUUGUUAUGCCAUUCAUAGGUAGUUUUAAGAGCUCUUUCAGAUGUUUUGUCCCCUUGAAACACCCAACAUAAUCAAGCUGUCUCUUCAUUGCUAUGAUAAAGUAAACUGAUUAACCACU